rnacentral:lncRNA from 1 species
AUCAUGGGCUCCACCUUUCAGCCCCUACAACUGAGCCUGGUUCGGGGCAGGUAGUGAGACUGACUCCGAGCCAGGCACGCACCCUGCCAAGCACCUCCACGUGGUGCCUCCUUUUAUUCCCACAAGGCUACAGGAUAGGUGGAAUUGGAAUGAGGAGCCCUGUUUUACAGAGAAGGAAACCGAAGCUCCUGUGCUGACGGUCAGUUAGUUACAAAGGUCUUAAUCCAAAACUCUGAACCAUUUUGUUAAUUUAUCUUUCAGUAACAGUUCAAUUAAGUUAGACAAAUAUCCCAAAAAGCUCUUAGCUGGCCCUCAAGGCACUUGAGUUCACAGCCCAGAAGAAAGGAAGUAAAGACACGGUAAGGUAACUUUUCUUUGUUUCAGACUCAUUAUGUCAGAGAUUAAGAGAGAGCUCUUCAAAAUUGUUGGAUCCAACCCCCCACUAUAAAGUUGGAGUAACUGAGGCCCAGUGAGGGCAAUGGCUGGUCUGAGGUCACAAGUGAGGGAGGGACGAGACCAGACUCUCUCACCUGCCUGUUGCUGUCUUCACAGCUAUGAAAACAAACACAUGCGCCGCGCACGGUGGCUCACGCCUGUAAUCCCAGCACUUUGGGAGGCCAAGGCGGGUGGAUCACCUGAGAUCAGGAGUUCGAGACCAGCCUGACCAACAUGGAGAAACUCCAUCUCUAUUAAAAAUACAAAAUUAGCCAGGUGUGGUAGCACAUGUCUGUAAUCCCAGCUACUCGGGAAGCUGAGGCAGGAGAAUCGCUUGAACCCGGGAGGCAGAGGUGGCAGUGAGCCAAAUUCAUGCCAUUGCACUCCAGCCUGGGCAACAAGAGCGAAAGUCCAUCUCAAAAAAAAAAAAAAAGAAGAAAAAGAAAAGAAAGAAAAGAAAACAAACACGCGCUAACCUGCAAUAAACUAGUCUGGUCAGAAACAAGUGCAUGGCAGAUGCAGAUUUGAACCCAGGCAUCCAAAUUCCUGGUCCAGUACUCUAGCGCGGCCUGGAUGGAGAUGGGUGGUGAAAUGGAUGGGAAGAUUUGUCAGUUUGCCCCAGCACAUUUACUAUCCUUCCCACCACCCCGCCCAGCACAUUCAACUGGCCCCUGCCACCAACCCCCUCAUUCAAAGUACAGACACUACUCAUUUUACAGACAGAGGUUCAGGAUGUUUUUGGAUCUGACAUAGCCCAAACCAGGGCAGAGGCUGUAGCAAGGGGAGGAAGCUGGGAAAGCCUGAGGGUCAGAGGGGACUGGAACAAUCAGGCUUGGCCAUGGCGGCUGGUGCUGAUAACCAUUUCUUGGCAG